UUGGAGGGCAAGUCUGGUGCCAGCAGCCGCGGUAAUUCCAGCUCCAAUAGCGUAUAUUAAAGUUGUUGCAGUUAAAAAGCUCGUAGUUGAAUUUCGGGAUUUAUCCGUCGGUCGGGCUUUUGGGUCUGUACUGGCGUGAUGGAUUCCUACCUUCUGAAUAACCGGCAUGUCAUUAAUUUGGUGCGCCGGGGAAGCAGGACUGUUACCUUGAAAAAAUUAGAGUGCUUAAAGCAGGCUUAUGCCUGAAUACAUUAGCAUGGAAUAAUGAAAUAGGACGGCAUGGUUCUAUUUUGUUGGUUUCUAGGAUCACCGUAAUGAUUAAUAGGGAUAGUUGGGGGCAUUAGUAUUCAAUUGUCAGAGGUGAAAUUCUUGGAUUUAUUGAAGACUAACUUCUGCGAAAGCAUUUGCCAAGGAUGUUUUCAUUAAUCAAGAACGAAAGUUAGGGGAUCGAAGACGAUCAGAUACCGUCGUAGUCUUAACCAUAAACUAUGCCGACUAGGGAUCGGACGAUGUUAAUUUUUUAAUGACUCGUUCGGCGCCUUACGGGAAAC
rnacentral:rRNA from 1 species